rnacentral:rRNA from 1 species
GACGAACCGUGCAAACGUUGUUCGGAUUCACUGGGCUUAAAGGGCGCGUAGGCGGCUUGCCAAGUCAGGGGUGAAAUCCUUCGGCUCAACCGGAGAACAGCUUCUGAUACUGGCGAGCUGGAGGGAGGUAGGGGCAGAUGGAACUUCCGGUGGAGCGGUGAAAUGCGUAGAUAUCGGAAGGAACGCCGGUGGCGAAAGCGAUCUGCUGGACCUCUUCUGACGCUGAGGCGCGAAAGCCAGGGGAGCAAACGGG